rnacentral:rRNA from 2 species
UGGGGAAUAUUGGACAAUGGGCACAAGCCUGAUCCAGCCAUGCCGCGUGAGUGAUGAAGGCCCUAGGGUUGUAAAGCUCUUUCACCGGUGAAGAUAAUGACGGUAACCGGAGAAGAAGCCCCGGCUAACUUCGUGCCAGCAGCCGCGGUAAUACGAAGGGGGCUAGCGUUGUUCGGAUUUACUGGGCGUAAAGCGCACGUAGGCGGACUAUUAAGUCAGGGGUGAAAUCCCGGGGCUCAACCCCGGAACUGCCUUUGAUACUGGUAGUCUUGAGUUCGAGAGAGGUGAGUGGAAUUCCGAGUGUAGAGGUGAAAUUCGUAGAUAUUCGGAGGAACACCAGUGGCGAAGGCGGCUCACUGGCUCGAUACUGACGCUGAGGUGCGAAAGCGUGGGGAGCAAACAGG